AAAUAUAGAACCCCCUAUCAUUUAAUUCUAUACCUCUUCAACAUGACUUGUUGCAGGUCCUUUGGAUCAAAUAAUUUCUCCGGAACACUCCCUCCAGAACUUGGUAACUUAGUCAAUCUCGGGCUAUUGUACAUGGACAGCUGUAGAUUUAGUGGUGAAAUUCCUUCAA